CACCCAGGAGACCCCUAAAACACCACUGGUCACACUCAGACACCAAAAAAGAUGAGCCUGUGAUUGCUGACACCCAGGGCACCUUCACCGCCUGCCUACCCCAGAGCAGGGAUAAAAAGGCAAGCCUCACAACCGCUCUUCAUCCCCUGGGGGACCACAGCUCAGUGCAAAUGAAACUCUGCCCACAUCUCCACGACUGAAGCUCUGCUCGCCACCCUGCCGGAGCCACCUCGCCUGGAUGUCCCAGCUGCCGCCAGAGCUGACAUCGGAGCAGGACUGGACCUCUCAUCAGGUGACCUCUCCAGCCCUUCACCUUGCCAUCCGUCUCGGAACUUCGAGCCUACUGCCCGACACGCCAGUCAUCCCACGACUCCUGCCUGGCCCGUAAGGAUUCCGUCUCAGCCUGGAGGCUCUGGACUUGGCACGACGUGUUGUGCAGCUCCACCCUGAGGGCAGCAGCCAUCUUCGCCUCCUGGGUUGGGGCCACGCAGGCCACCUCAGCCUGUUGCUGUGGGGAAUCAGGUUCCUCACAAAAAAUGCAUAUAGAAAUCCAGUUGUUUUGAACACAUAAUGCCUUCAAGUGGAAUAAAAUUCAAAAGAGCUCCUAAG